rnacentral:rRNA from 1 species
ACGAACGCUGGCGGCGUGCUUAACACAUGCAAGUCGAACGGAAAGGCCCUGCUUUUGUGGGGUGCUCGAGUGGCGAACGGGUGAGUAACACGUGAGUAACCUGCCCUUGACUUUGGGAUAACUUCAGGAAACUGGGGCUAAUACCGGAUAGGAGCUCCUGCUGCAUGGUGGGGGUUGGAAAGUUUCGGCGGUUGGGGAUGGACUCGCGGCUUAUCAGCUUGUUGGUGGGGUAGUGGCUUACCAAGGCUUUGACGGGUAGCCGGCCUGAGAGGGUGACCGGCCACAUUGGGACUGAGAUACGGCCCAGACUCCUACGGGAGGCAGCAGUGGGGAAUAUUGCACAAUGGGCGGAAGCCUGAUGCAGCAACGCCGCGUGCGGGAUGACGGCCUUCGGGUUGUAAACCGCUUUCGCCUGUGACGAAGCGUGAGUGGCGGUAAUGGGUAAAGAAGCACCGGCUAACUACGCG